rnacentral:rRNA from 1 species
GGGGCGCCCGCCGGAGGAAACCAAACUCUAUUUACACGACGUCUCUUCUGAGUGGCACAAGCAAAUAAUUAAAACUUUUAACAACGGAUCUCUUGGUUCUGGCAUCGAUGAAGAACGCAGCGAAAUGCGAUAAGUAAUGUGAAUUGCAGAAUUCAGUGAAUCAUCGAAUCUUUGAACGCACAUUGCGCUCGCCAGCAUUCUGGCGAGCAUGCCUGUUCGAGCGUCAUUUCAACCCUCAAGCACCGCUUGGUUUUGGGGCCCCACGGCACACGUGGGCCCUUAAAGGUAGUGGCGGACCCUCCCGGAGCCUCCUUUGCGUAGUAACUAACGUCUCGCACUGGGAUUCGGAGGGACUCUUGCCGUAAAACCCCCAAAUUUUUUACAGGUUGACCUCGGAUCAGGUAGGAAUACCCGCUGAACUUAAGCAUAUCAUAGGCCGGAAGGAAAAUUUCCUACGGUUAAACCAAAUUU